rnacentral:rRNA from 1 species
UACGGGGGGGGCAAGCGUUGUUCGGAAUUACUGGGCGUAAAGGGCUCGUAGGCGGCGCGGGUAGUCAUCGGUGAAAGUUCAGGGCUCAACUCUGAAUCGGCCGGUGAUACUCCCGUGCUCGAGCACUGUAGAGGCAGGUGGAAUUCCGGGUGUAGCGGUGGAAUGCGUAGAGAUCCGGAAGAACACCGGUGGCGAAGGCGGCCUGCUGGGCAGUAGCUGACGCUGAUGCGCGACAGCGUGGGGAGCAAACAGG